GUGGGGAAUAUUGGGCAAUGGGCGAAAGCCUGACCCAGCAACGCCGCGUGAAGGAAGAAGGUCUUCGGAUCGUAAACUUCUAUCCUUGGUGAAGAUAAUGACGGUAGCCGAGAAGGAAGCCCCGGCUAACUACGUGCCAGCAGCCGCGGUAAUACGUAGGGGGCAAGCGUUGUCCGGAAUGAUUGGGCGUAAAGGGCGCGUAGGCGGCCUGGUAAGUCUGGAGUGAAAGUCCUGCUUUUAAGGUGGGAAUUGCUUUGGAUACUGUCGGGCUUGAGUGGAGGAGAGGUAAGUGGAAUUCCCGGUGUAGCGGUGAAAUGCGUAGAGAUCGGGAGGAACACCAGUGGCGAAGGCGACUUACUGGACUGUAACUGACGCUGAGGCGCGAAAGUGUGGGGAGCAAACAGGAUUAGAUACCCUUGUAGUCC
rnacentral:rRNA from 1 species